rnacentral:lncRNA from 1 species
CAGCCUUAAGACGUCAGUCUCGCGGACACUCACAAGUUGGAGGCUGACCCCAGGAGCUUGGUCCUCCUGGGGCCCUCCGGGCAGAAGGUGCUGCCUCGGGAGCAGCGACCAGAGGGCAGGCGACCAGGCUGCGCGCGUCUGCCCUCGCGCCUCGCUCACGCCGCUCCACAGCGGAGCCCAACCCGCAGCAGAAAGGACGCCCGAUGUGGCCCCAAGAAUCUACAGGUUCUAGGAAUCAGGAGAUGCUCUCUGCCCCGGAGCCUCCCGGGUCCCGCUGAGAUAGAAAAGGAGUGCGAGAAAGACACAAGAGAAUCCGUCUUUAAUUCAAACAGUUACCUUCGGGAUUGUAUGUUAAUAACAUUUCUCCUUUUCCACAGUUUGAUGGAGACAUUUCCCCCGAUUAAUACAGAUCUGAAAUAAUCACCCACCCCAUAGAACAUCUUAGAGGCAGUAGCUGCUGGAGUCCCUUCAGGCUGAGAUGAAGUCAUCGCUAUAGUGCCCACCCUCCCCUCGGGGAAUCCUACAAAGCCGCCCUGGGAACCUCAGCUCUUUCUCGUCGGUGCCCUCCCUGGGACUGAACACCCCGAAACCGAAAGGUGCUGGGAUGCGGGGAGGAAGCGCAGGUGCGAAUCCGCGAUCUGCGGAGGAAGCUCUGCCCGCUGGUGCGAGCCCCCAGGCCCUGCGGAGUCAGCUGCCAGCGAGGCGCCGCUGCGUGGAGCGCUGAUUUUGUUUGUAUUUUUAAAUCAGCAAGGCAAAAGCACCUUCAGCGAAAAUGCCUGAAAGAUUUUUAGUUGAGGAAAAUCGGGGAGGGAAAAACAAAAAAGAAAACGACCUAGGAAAUUUCCCGCAGGCCGUUCGAGGGAUGAAGUGAGGGAAUCCGAAUGACGCGUGGCUCCCUUGUAUCUUGACUAAAGACAGGUAUUUUCGAAAAAAGAAGGAUUAAAAAAAAAAAAAAGCACACUCCCUUUGGAAACACAGUCCCCUUGGGCUGGGACUUCCCACUCUCACCUCUUCUUUUUGCAUCAGCCAGCCAGCCAGUCCAGGACAAGCCAGCGCGUCCAGUCUCUCGCUUUGGCCGAGGGCCGCACCCCCGGGCGCCCCGCUGGGUGACAGCCGCCCGCUGCCCCACGACCCGGCCGGCUGGCCGGCCGGGUCACCCGGGAGCGCAUUGACGCUUCACGCCUCUCUCACCCCACACCUCCUGUCCACCUCAUCCCUCUUUCUC